rnacentral:lncRNA from 1 species
CACUAUUAGAUAGCCUUAACGGGGUGUGCCUGAUCAGGCCCGCCCUGCUGCCGGUAGUGCUGGCACUGCCCCCGCACCGUUGCUGGGUCGUUAACAGGAGCCCCCGCACUUAUCACUCAUCCUGGCAAUACCAACCGUCCUUGCUGGGGAGUCCCGUGCAGGAGUGGCUUACGGAUUCUCCUCGACAAAUAAGCCUAGGUGUUUCCCACACACCUUCUCUGGUGGGCAGCGACGCGACGUUCCUCCCCGACGUUUUUUCAAGGCAAGGGGGGUGGGUGCGGAAUCGCUGCCCUGGCAACGCCGCCGCCGCGACGGCCGCUCUCGCAAGAACUAACUGCCCGGCCGAGAGCUGCCCGGCUGCUCUGCUCUCUCGGGGAUCCCUGAGUGAGGGAACCGACCGAAACCCCUUGUACCUCGCGAUCAGUCGCUGCGCUUCUGGCUGGACCAGCUCCGAAGCAGCGAUCCUCGGCAAUCAAGCACUUACAUCCCUUCUUAAGUUUUCUAAGAGUUCAAGGAGAAGAAUUGACAUGAAUGGAGGAAAUAUAAAAUAGGAGUUGGGAACACACACUUCUCUCAAGAGAUAAAGAAACGUGGUCUUGAAGUAAAAAUCAACUUUGAAGAUCAUCUCUUCUUUCAGGGAAGAAAUUGGUUUCAGGACACUGCAAGAAAAGAUCUCCUGGAAGAGCUGAGCAAAGGAACUCCCUGAAUGUCUUCAGCAAAAAAGCAAUUAGGUCCACAAGAAAGGAGUCAGAAGUCACACUGUGAUGGACAUGUGGGAAAUGUUUACAUAAACCAAUAUUUCUUCUGUGAAAUUCAAGACAUGUUUACACUGUGCAAAUUUGCAUAUCUUAGAUACCAACUAAUGUCUUUAUAUUGUUCAGUAUGAAUUCAAAGCUAGCUUGGAUAUCUUUAACACUAUAUCACAUUGCGUGUUUUAACCUUAGCUUCUGUAAUAUAGAACUGAUCUACUGAGAUCAGACCGGAUUGACAGUCUACCUUCCAACUCUGCCUCUUAGUUUACACUAUUAUCCUGAAAUAUCCGUAAGGGGUUAAUCAAGACAUCACUGUGCAGCUCUGUAGGAACAGAUUGCUUGGGCUGCUUUAGAAACAAUAUAUGAAAGAUUUCCCCAAAGGCUGUGGUUUUCAGUCUGAAGCCUGAAAGAAUGGAACUGCUGCUGUGAAGCAUGAGGGCUGAGUGAAAAGAGACUCUGGAAGUGCCAGACCAUCUUGAAACAGUUCCUUAUUCCUGCUUGACAAAUACAUUUUUCAACCUGCAUAUGUCUGGAAAUUGCAGCAUUAUUGUACUGCCUGAUUUACCAGCUGCUGGAGAAAUACAGAAGUAAGAGCUGAUCUAAAAAUGCAUACUUUUCUCCAAAUUGCAGGUCUGGUUGUCCCUGAACAGCUUUUAAAUCUACCUCUGCUAUUAUGUUACCAUUGCAGUACAUAUAGUUAAAAACAAACACACACAAAACCAACAGAAAUGGCCCUUUGGAUUAUUCAUCCCUUAGAGGUAAAAAUCCUAGAUGCUCUACACUAUUCAUUAACCAGAACUCAAGCACUUCUGCUAUUUAAUUCUUACUUUCAUGCCCACUUCGGUUUGUAUUUUUAUCUUGUCUAAACAUUGCGAAUCUUGGAUACAUAUCAAUAAGACCUUUCCCUAUAGCAGUAUCCACAUCUAAGUGGCUGCUAUGAUCUGUGUCAAAGAUUAAUAAUUGUCUGCUAAAAAAUAAAUCAGAUUUCUUUGAUCA